rnacentral:tRNA from 1 species
AGAGACUUAGGAUACCUAAACCAAGGGCCUUCAAAGCCCUAAACAGGGUUACAACCCCCUAGCCUCUG